AGUGAACGCUGGCGGUAGGCCUAACACAUGCAAGUCGAACGGCAGCACAGUAAGAGCUUGCUCUUACGGGUGGCGGGUGGCGGACGGGUGAGGAAUACAUCGGAAUCUACUUUUUCGUGGGGGAUAACGUAGGGAAACUUACGCUAAUACCGCAUACGACCUACGGGUGAAAGCAGGGGAUCUUCGGACCUUGCGCGAUUGAAUGAGCCGAUGUCGGAUUAGCUAGUUGGCGGGGUAAAGGCCCACCAAGGCGACGAUCCGUAGCUGGUCUGAGAGGAUGAUCAGCCACACUGGAACUGAGACACGGUCCAGACUCCUACGGGAGGCAGCAGUGGGGAAUAUUGGACAAUGGGCGCAAGCCUGGUCCAGCCAUACCGCGUGGGUGAAGAAGGCCUUCGGGUUGUAAAGCCCUUUUGUUGGGAAAGAAAAGCAGCAGGUUAAUACCCCGCUGUUCUGACGGUACCCAAAGAAUAAGCACCGGCUAACUUCGUG
rnacentral:rRNA from 1 species